rnacentral:rRNA from 1 species
UACAGAGGUCUCGAGCGUUAGGCGGAAUCACUGGGCUUAAAGCGUGUGUAGGUGGAUGCCUAAGUACCUUGUGAAAUCCCACGGCUUAACCGGGGAACGGGCGCGGAUACGGCUCGUCUCGAGGGGCGUAGGGGGACCUGGAACUUCCGGUGGAGCGGUGAAAUGCGUUGAGAUCGGAAGGAACGCCCGUGGCGAAAGCGAGGUCCUGGACGCCUACUGACGCUGAGACGCGAAAGCCAGGGGAGCGAACGGG